CUCAGAUUGAACGCUGGCGGCAUGCUUUACACAUGCAAGUCGAACGGGUGAGGAGCUUGCUCCUCAUCUAGUGGCGAACGGGUGAGUAAUACAUCGGAACGUACCGUGUAGUGGGGAUAACGUAGCGAAAGUUACGCUAAUACCGCAUACGAUCCACGGAUGAAAGCAGGGGACCUUCGGGCCUUGUGCUAUACGAGCGGCCGAUGUCUGAUUAGCUAGUUGGUGGGUAAAGGCCCACCAAGGCAACGAUCAGUAGUGGGUCUGAGAGGAUGAUCCGCCACACUGGGACUGAGACACGGCCCAGACUCCUACGGGAGGCAGCAGUGGGGAAUUUUGGACAAUGGGCGCAAGCCUGAUCCAGCCAUGCCGCGUGUCUGAAGAAGGCCUUCGGGUUGUAAAGGACUUUUGUCAGGGAGCAAAACCCAGCAGCUAAUAUCUGUUGGGGAUGAGAGUACCUGAAGAAUAAGCACCGGCUAACUACGUG
rnacentral:rRNA from 1 species